UCCCAGGUGGUGUAAUGGUAACACAGCGGACUUUGAAUCCGCUAUUCCUGGUUCGAGUCCAGGCCUGGGAACCA
rnacentral:tRNA from 1 species